rnacentral:rRNA from 1 species
UACGUAGGGUGCAAGCGUUGCCCGGAUUUAUUGGGCGUAAAGGGCGCGUAGGCGGCUCGGCACGUCCGUUGUGAAAUCGCCCGGCUCAACUGGGCGGGGUCAGCGGAUACGGCCGAGCUUGAGCAAGCUAGGGGGCAAUGGAAUUCCCGGUGUAGUGGUGAAAUGCGUAGAUAUCGGGAGGAACACCAGUGGCGAAGGCGACUUCCUGGCCUGUUCUUGACGCUGAGGCGCGAAAGCUAGGGUAGCAAACGGG